GAAAUGCGAUAAGUAAUGUGAAUUGCAGAAUUCAGUGAAUCAUCGAAUCUUUGAACGCACAUUGCGCCCGCCAGUAUUCGGGCGGGCAUGUCUGUCCGAGCGUCAUUUCAACCAUCAAGCCCCCGGGCUUGUGUUGGGGACCUGCGGCUGCCCGCAGGCCCUGAAAACCAGUGGCGGGCUCGCUGUCACACCGAGCGUAGUAGCAAUCACCUCGCUCAGGGCGUGCUGCGGGUUCCGGCCGUUAAACAGCCUUACAAAACCCAAGGUUGACCUCGGAUCAGGUAGGAAGACCCGCUGAACUUAAGC
rnacentral:misc_RNA from 1 species